UCCGUGCCAUUCGGAACUUUCUAGAGCGCGUUUGCAAAUGGAGCCUCGCGUAGUGGGGGCGCCGGGACCCCCAUCCCGAUCGGGCCAGAAUCUCCCCAGCUGCGGGACACCCAAGUCUCCAAGAUCAGCGGGACAGUGACAUCCUCUAGGAUGGACCCUGUGGGUGUGUCUCUAAGCACAGAUGUCAAUCUUGUGUCUGUAGUUCAUUCCCCAUCACCUCCUGUGGUUCUACAUCAGCCCCAGGUCAAGUAGAAGCAGCUCAGGAAGUCUCCAGUACAAUAAUUGGGUCAUGAAAGGAUGCCGGAACCAUAGUACCAGGGACCGAACACAGAACCUUUUGUGCCAGGCAAGCGGUGGCACCACUGAGCUAAGUCCCAGGCCCCUGAAAGGAUGCAUUUUUAAGAAGGAAGUUCAGUGCACACUUGGGACAGGAUUCCACAGGGCGUGAAUACUGGGGAGUGGGGGCCCCAGGCCUUCGCAGAUGCUGCCUCCCAGAGCUGUGGACAAAGGGCAGAUGGAAGUCGGGGACACUUGGCGGUGUGUAGCACUGUUUCUCCAGGCUUCCGCUUCUGGAUGCCCGGGCCGGAGAGUGCUUGAGAGGCUCCUGGUGUCCUAGGGGAGGCGUCCGUACAUGGAGAAGCCGAUGGCUUCCACUCUGAAGGUGAUUUUCGAUGUAAGGCGACCAGAUAAACCAUUGUCUUCCCCAAGUUGCCGGGCUCUGCUUACAAGUAGUACUUCUAUUUAUAAACCAAGAGAUGUGACAGCCACUUUCAGGGAGUUCUUUGAUGAAUGCUCAACCAACUCCGCUUUCAACAGCCUCACAUCCCACUUAGAAUCUUAAUUAAACUCCCUUAAAUGUUCUACUUUCACAAAUUUAAACUGUUUGAUUUUCUUUCGAAGCUCAGUAGAAAUAUUGAAGGAGCAAAACCUGCCCAAGCACUUACUGCUUUUAAUAAAUUAAACAUUAUCAAGAUUUUUUAAACAUUGCAAUGCCAUUUGCUCACUUAGAGGAAAACCUU